GAAUAUUGGACAAUGGGCGAAAGCCUGAUCCAGCCAUGCCGCGUGUGUGAAGAAGGUCUUCGGAUUGUAAAGCACUUUAAGUUGGGAGGAAGGGCAGGAGGUUAAUACCUUGCUGUUUUGACGUUACCGACAGAAUUAGUACCGGCUAACUUUGUGUCGGCAGGCGCGGUAAUACGAAGGGUGCAAGCGUUAAUCGGAAUUACUGGGCGUAAAGCGCGCGUAGGUGGUUCGUUAAGUUGGAAAUGAAAGCCCCGGGCUUAACCUGGGAAUUGCUUUCAAAACUGACGAGCUAGAGUACGGUAGAGGGUAGUGGAAUUUCCUGUGUAGCGGUGAAAUGCGUAGAUAUAGGAAGGAACAUCAGUGGCGAAGGCGACUACCUGGACUGAUACUGACACUGAGGUGCGAAAGCGUGGGGAGCAAACAGA
rnacentral:rRNA from 1 species